AUACGGAGGGUGCAAGCGUUAAUCGGAAUUACUGGGCGUAAAGCGUACGUAGGCGGUUAGUUAAGUUAGAUGUGAAAGCCCCGGGCUUAACCUGGGAACUGCAUUUAAAACGGGCGAACUAGAGUUGAGUAGAGGGGAGUGGAAUUUCAGGUGUAGCGGUGAAAUGCGUAGAGAUCUGAAGGAACACCAGUGGCGAAGGCGACUCCCUGGACUCGAACUGACGCUGAGGUACGAAAGCGUGGGUAGCAAACGGGAUUAGAAACCCCAGUAGUCC
rnacentral:rRNA from 1 species